rnacentral:rRNA from 1 species
UACGAAGGGUGCGAGCGUUGUUCGGAAUUAUUGGGCGUAAAGCGCACGUAGGCGGCCUUGUAAGUCUGUCUGUGAAAGCCCGGGGCUCAACCCCGGGAUGCCAGGGGAUACUGCGAGGCUGGAGACAAGCAGAGGUUGGUAGAAUUCCGGGUGUAGCGGUGGAAUGCGUAGAGAUCCGGAGGAAUACCAGAGGCGAAGGCGGCCAACUGGGCUUGAUCUGACGCUGAGGUGCGAAAGCGUGGGGAGCGAA